rnacentral:rRNA from 1 species
AUUGAACGCUGGCGGCAUGCUUUACACAUGCAAGUCGAACGGUAACAGGGUGCUUGCACCGCUGACGAGUGGCGUACGGGUGAGUAAUGCGUCGGAACGUGCCGAGUAGUGGGGGAUAACGCAUCGAAAGGUGUGCUAAUACCGCAUACGUACUGAGGUAGAAAGUGGGGGACCUUCGGGCCUCACGCUAUUCGAGCGGCCGACGUCUGAUUAGCUAGUUGGUGAGGUAAAGGCUCACCAAGGCGACGAUCAGUAGCGGGUCUGAGAGGAUGAGCCGCCACACGGGGACUGAGACACGGCCCGGACUCCGACGGGAGGCAGCAGUGGGGAAUUUUGGACAAUGGGCGCAAGCCUGAUCCAGCCAUGCCGCGUGUCUGAAGAAGGCCUUCGGGUUGUAAAGGACUUUUGUCCGGGAGCAAAUACCCAGUGCUAAUAACGCUGGGGGCUGAGAGUACCGGAAGAAUAAGCACCGGCUAACUACGUGCCAGCCGCCGCAGUAACAC